AGCCGAACCGCGGCGAUGGUAGACCGCGGGUAAGGAUGUAGGGCGAGGUGUAGGCAAAUCCGCACCUCAUAUGCCUGAGAUCUUAUACGGACGCAUUAGCGGAAGUCGGUAAUCCUAUGCUGCCAAGAAAAUCUUCUAGCGAGGUUCGAGCCGCCCGUACCCCAAACCAACUCAGGUGGUUAGGUAGAGAAUACCAAGGCGAUCGAGUGAAUCGUGGUUAAGGAACUCGGCAAAAUACCCCCGUAACUUCGGGAGAAGGGGGGCCCAGAGGGUGACGGAGACUAGCGCUCCUGAGCCUGAACGGCCGCAGAGACCAGGGAGAAGCGACUGUUUACUAAAAACACAGGUCCGUGCCAAGUCGCAAGACGAUGUAUACGGACUGACGCCUGCCCGGUGCUGGAACGUUAAGGGGACCGGUUAGCCUCACGGCGAAGCUGAGAACUUAAGCGCCAGUAAACGGCGGUGGUAACUAUAACCAUCCUAAGGUAGCGAAAUUCCUUGUCGGGUAGUUCCGACCUGCACGAAUGGCGUAACGACUUCUCCACUGUCUCAACCACGAACUCGGCGAAAUUGCACUACGAGUAAAGAUGCUCGUUACGCGCAGAAGGACGGAAAGACCCCGGGACCUUUACUACAGCUUGGUAUUGGUGUUCGGAACGGCUUGUGUAGGAUAGGUGGGAGGCUUUGUAGCUGAUACGCCAGUAUCGGUGGAGCCAACGUUGAAAUACCACUCUGGUCGUUCUGGAUGUCUGACCUAGGUCCGUAAUCCGGAUCAGGGACAGUGCCUGGUGGGUAGUUUAACUGGGGCGGUUGCCUCCUAAAAGGUAACGGAGGCGCCCAAAGGUUCCCUCAGCCUGGUUGGCAAUCAGGUUUUGAGUGUAAGUGCACAAGGGAGCUUGACUGUGAGACUGACAAGUCGAACAGGGACGAAAGUCGGGACUAGUGAUCCGGCGGUGGCUUGUGGAAGCGCCGUCGCUCAACGGAUAAAAGGUACCCCGGGGAUAACAGGCUGAUCUUGCCCAAGACUCCAUAUCGACGGCAUGGUUUGGCACCUCGAUGUCGGCUCGUCGCAUCCUGGGGCUGGAGUAGGUCCCAAGGGUUGGGCUUUCGCCCAUUAAAGCGGUACGCGAGCUGGGUUUAGAACGUCGUGAGACAGUUCGGUCCCUAUCCUCUGCGCGCGCAGGAAACUUGAGAAGAGCUGUCCCUAGUACGAGAGGACCGGGAUGGACGAACCUCUGGUGUGUCAGUUGUUCUGCCAAGAGCACCGCUGAUUAGCUACGUUCGGAAGUGAUAACCGCUGAAACCAUCUAAGCGGGAAGCAUGCUUCAAGAUGAGGUUUCCAUGGGGUUUACCCCGAGAGGCUCCCAGCUAGACUACUGGGUUGAUAGGCCGGAUGUGGAAGUGCGGUAGCGCACGGAGCUGACCGGUACUAAUAAGCCGAUAACUUGCU
rnacentral:rRNA from 1 species